UACGUAGGGUGCAAGCGUUAAUCGGAAUUACGUGGCGUAAGCGUGCGCAGGCGGUUGUGCAAGACAGAUGUGAAAUCCCCCGGGCUCAACCUGGGGAAUUUGCAUUUGUGACUGCAUGGCUAGAGUGUGUCAGAGGGGGUAGAAUUCCACGUGUAGCAGUGAAAUGCGUAGAGAUGUGGAGGAAUACCGAUGGCGAAGGCAGCCCCCUGGGAUAACACUGACGCUCAUGCACGAAAGCGUGGGGAGCAAACAGG
rnacentral:rRNA from 1 species